UUCCUACGGGGCGCAGCAGUGAGGAAUAUUGGUCAAUGGGCGGGAGCCUGAACCAGCCAAGUCGCGUGAAGGAAGAAGGUACUUAGUAUUGUAAACUUCUUUUGUCGGGGAGCAAAAGCCGGACGUGUCCGGCUGUGAGAGUACCCGAAGAAAGAGCAUCGGCUAACUCCGUGCCAGCAGCCGCGGUAAUACGGAGGAUGCGAGCGUUAUCCGGAUUUAUUGGGUUUAAAGGGUGCGCAGGCGGAUUUUUAAGUCAGCGGUCAAAUCGUGGGGCUCAACCCCAUCCAGCCGUUGAAACUGGGGAU
rnacentral:rRNA from 1 species